GCAUUGAAACACUGAUUCUCAUACAAUCACUGAAGUUAAACAAUGUCAAGCCACGUCAGUACUUAGAUGGGUGACCACUUGGGAAUACCAGCUGCUGG